CAUGUAUGAUUUCGGUCAUGUAUGCAGUUGAAAAUAAUUAUAUGACCGAUUUAAUAUAUGGCU
rnacentral:pre_miRNA from 1 species